rnacentral:hammerhead_ribozyme from 1 species
ACACUGUUGAGGAGUCCCUCAACAGGACGAAACGGCCGUCCAGUAC